GGUAUUUACUAAACGGCCGCAGAAUUUUAACUGUGCUAAGGUAGCAUAAUCAUUUGUUUUUUAAUUAAAAACUAGUAUGAACGGUUUAACGAAAUAAAGCUGUCUUUUUUACUGUACAUAUAAAUUAUUCUUAAAGUAAAAAACCUUUAAUCAUAUAAAAAGACAAAAAGACCCUAUAGAGUUUUACUUCAAAAUAUUAAAGAUAUCUUCAAGUUUAGUUGGGGCAACUAAAUGGAAAAAAAUUCCAUAAAAAUUUUAUAAAAUUUUAAUAGCAUUAAAUUAAUAAACUAAAAUAAAUUACCUUAGGGGUAACAGCGUAACUAUCUUAAAGAGCCCAAAUCGAAAAGAUAAAUUAC
rnacentral:rRNA from 1 species